CAUGUGGCCCAGUGGUAGAGUGUGUGCUUACUGUGUUUAAGGCUCUGGGUUCAAUCCCCAGCAUG
rnacentral:tRNA from 1 species